rnacentral:rRNA from 1 species
CCUACGGGUGGCUGCAGUAGGGAAUAUUGCACAAUGGGGGAAACCCUGAAGCAGCAACGCCGCGUGGGGGAUGAAGGUUUUCGGAUUGUAAACUCCUUUUGUUAGAGAAGAUAAUGACGGUAUCUAAAGAAUAAGCACAGGCUAACUCCGUGCCAGCAGCCGCGGUAAUACGGAGGGUGCAAGCGUUACUCGGAAUCACUGGGCGUGAAGAGCGCGUAGGCGGGAUAGCAAGUCAGAUGUGAAAUCCUAUGGCGUAACCAUAGAACUGCAUUUGAAACUGUUAUUCUAGAGUAUGGGAGAGGUAGGUGGAAUUCUUGGUGUAGGGGUAAAAUCCGUAGAGAUCAAGAGGAAUACUCAUGGCGAAGGCGAGCUGCUAGAACAUAACUGACGCUGAUGCGCGAAGGCGUGGGGAGCGAACAGGAUUAGAUACCCUUGUAGUC